rnacentral:rRNA from 1 species
UACGUAGGGGGCAAGCGUUGUCCGGAUUUAUUGGGCGUAAAGAGCGUGUAGGCGGUUUGGUAGGUCCGCUGUGAAAACUCGAGGCUCAACCUCGAGACGCCGGUGGAAACCAUCAGACUAGAGUCCGGAAGAGGAGAGUGGAAUUCCUGGUGUAGCGGUGAAAUGCGCAGAUAUCAGGAGGAACACCGAUGGCGAAGGCAGGUCUCUGGGCCGCAACUGACGCUGAGGAGCGAAAGCAUGGGGAGCGAACAGG